UUAUAGUUCUAGUAGGGA
rnacentral:snRNA from 1 species